AGAGUUUGAUCCUGGCUCAGGACGAACGCUGGCGGCGCGCCUAACACAUGCAAGUCGAACGAGAGAUGAGGAGCUUGCUCUUCAAAUCGAGUGGCGAACGGGUGAGUAACGCGUGAGGAACCUGCCUCAAAGAGGGGGACAACAGUUGGAAACGACUGCUAAUACCGCAUAAGCCCACGGCUCGGCAUCGAGCAGAGGGAAAAGGAGUGAUCCGCUUUGAGAUGGCCUCGCGUCCAAUUAGCUAGUUGGUGAGGUAACGGCCCACCAAGGCGACGAUCGGUAGCCGGACUGAGAGGUUGAACGGCCACAUUGGGACUGAGACACGGCCCAGACUCCUACGGGAGGCAGCAGUGGGGAAUAUUGCACAAUGGGGGAAACCCUGAUGCAGCGACGCCGCGUGGAGGAAGAAGGUCUUCGGAUUGUAAACUCCUGUUGUUGAGGAAGAUAAUGACGGUACUCAACAAGGAAGUGACGGCUAACUACGUGCCAGCAGCCGCGGUAAAACGUAGGUCACAAGCGUUGUCCGGAAUUACUGGGUGUAAGGGGAGCGCAGGCGGGAGAACAAGUUGGAAGUGAAAUCCAUGGGCUCAACCCAUGAACUGCUUUCAAAACUGUUUUUCUUGAGUAGUGCAGAGGUAGGCGGAAUUCCCGGUGUAGCGGUGGAAUGCGUAGAUAUCGGGAGGAACACAGUGGCGAAGGCGGCCUACUGGGCACCAACUGACGCUGAGGCUCGAAAGUGUGGGUAGCAAACAGGAUUAGAUACCCUGGUAGUCCACACCGUAACGAUGAUUACUAGGUGUUGGAGGAUUGACCCCUUCAGUGCCGCAGUUAACACAAUAAGUAAUCCACCUGGGGAGUACGACCGCAAGGUUGAAACUCAAAGGAAUUGACGGGGGCCCGCACAAGCAGUGGAGUAUGUGGUUUAAUUCGACGCAACGCGAAGAACCUUACCAAGUCUUGACAUCCCUUGACGAACAUAGAAAUAUGUUUUCUCUUCGGAGCAAGGAGACAGGUGGUGCAUGGUUGUCGUCAGCUCGUGUCGUGAGAUGUUGGGUUAAGUCCCGCAACGAGCGCAACCCUUAUGGUCAGUUACUACGCAAGAGGACUCUGGCCAGACUGCCGUUGACAAAACGGAGGAAGGUGGGGAUGACGUCAAAUCAUCAUGCCCUUUAUGACUUGGGCUACACACGUACUACAAUGGCGUUAAACAAAGAGAAGCAAGACCGCGAGGUGGAGCAAAACUCAGAAACAACGUCCCAGUUCCCACUCCAGGCUGCAACUCGCCUGCACGAAGUCGGAAUUGCUAGUAAUCGUGGAUCAGCAUGCCACGGUGAAUACGUUCCCGGGCCCUUGUACACACCGCC
rnacentral:rRNA from 1 species